rnacentral:rRNA from 1 species
UACGUAGGGGGGCAAGCGUUGUCCGGAAUCAUUGGGCGUAAAGAGCGUGUAGGCGGCUCGGUAAGUCCGCUGUAAAAGUCAAAGGCUCAACCUUUGGAAUGUCAGUGGAUACUGCCGGGCUAGAGUCCGGAAGAGGCGAGUGGAACUCCUGGUGUAGCGGUGGAAUGCGCAGAUAUCAGGAAGAACACCAACGGCGAAGGCAGCUCGCUGGGACGGUACUGACGCUGAGACGCGAAAGCGUGGGGAGCGAACAGG